rnacentral:lncRNA from 1 species
AAAAUAAAAAGACAUCAUCUCAUCAGCACUGUAUGAUAAUUUUCCUCACAUUUUCCUUUAAAAUUUCCAAAAACCAAACAUAGGGAAAAAGAAAAAGAAAUUAAAGCACAAAAGAUGAAUUUGGUUGUACAGAAUUUGCAGCCUUGGAAUUGAUAAUUUUCCCCUUUUGUGGUGGAUGCCCUAAUGUCAAGUCCACCAUUUGGUUGUUUUCUAUACCAAUUGGAUUUCCAAUUGAAUUUAAAAGCCAUAAACCCAAAUUCCCCAAGAACAAGUAAGCAACUCCAAGAUAAAAGCCAAGUUCUCCAGUUCCGUAAAAAUUGAACUUUAAACCAAAUCCAAUUCUACCCAACCAAAUGCAGCCUAAUUCUUCAAGAACCAUAAAAGAACAAUGAAUGAAUCAAGAAUGGACAAAUACAUUAAAAAAAAAUCAGGAGCAAUACAAAUUCUCAAAAACACUAAUCAUAAAGAAUCACAUAUGAAUUAAAACAAUUCCUAUGAAUUCAUUUUAUGCUCGAUUGACGACUGAGACAAUUCCUAGAGAAUGCUCGAUUGACUAAAAAAAUAUAACAGUAGAACUUGAUUUGUCUCCCACAUACGUUCAUUGUACAUGCGCACAAGGUUACCAAUUGACACAACCACCAAUUGCAAUGGAAAAUGGGGGCUGGUUGUUUUGGAGAAUGGAGGAAUUUAUUUUAAAAGAGACUUUCAACACGCACAGAAGGAGGGGUGAAUAAAAAAAAAAAUUAAAGAUAAGGGGUGAGAAGACACAACCGAGAAGGAGGAUGUCUUUUAGGGUGGAGAAAACACACAACGGGAACUCUCCACUACCAGCCACAAGAAUAGUAAAAAAAUGUGACCAGAACAGGGCACAAAUGGGUAAAUCAAAAUGAACAAAACCCACAUUUCAUGCCUAAUCAAAAAAUCAAGAAUAGAGCAGAACAGAGCAUGUAUCCGUGAACCGUGUUUCUUCUCCACUACAACCCAUAAAAUUAGGGCACGAUUUGCAAAGAGAAACUCGACCAACAUUAGAACACUUGCAAUAAAUGAUGAAUAUGGAGUUGAAAGAGUGGAGAAUCACCUGAUUUGUCGCUCGUUGGUGGAAUUUGUAAGAGAAGAAUGGAGUUUCAGUGCUUAUUCUCUGUUAUGAGAGUCACAAAAUGGAGAUUCAAAAAUGAUCUCCAGUUUUUAAUACUCAAGAUCUCACACUAGGGCUUGGAAACACACCUUCUAGCUAGAUCUCCAAUGUCAAGAGCCUCAUCUGAAG